CAUGGUGAAGUAUUCCAGGGAACCAGACAAUCCUACCAAGUCCUGCAAAGCCCGUGGCUCGGACCUCAGAGUUCACUUUAAGAACACAAGGGAAACUGCACAUGCUAUCAGAAAGUUGCCACUGGCCAAGGCCAAGAGGUACCUAGAGGAUGUGCUUGCCCACAAACAGGCCAUUCCUUUCCGUCGCUUCUGUGGUGGUGUUGGACGAACUGCUCAGGCAAAGAACAGGCAUUCCAAUGGUCAAGGACGUUGGCCUGUC
rnacentral:misc_RNA from 1 species